rnacentral:tRNA from 1 species
GGUAAGAUGGCUGAGUGUCAAGGCGUUAGGUUGUAGCCCUUUUUACAGAGGUUCAAUUCCUCUUCUUAUCG